rnacentral:rRNA from 1 species
UGGGGAAUAUUGCACAAUGGACGCAAGUCUGAUGCAGCGACGCCGCGUGAAGGAUGAAGGCCUUCGGGUUGUAAACUUCUUUUACACAUGAACAAGCCGCUUUUGGUGGUGAGGGUAGUGUGGGAAUAAGCACCGGCUAACUACGUGCCAGCAGCCGCGGUAAUACGUAGGGUGCGAGCGUUGUCCGGAAUUAUUGGGCGUAAAGAGCUCGUAGGUGGUGUGUCGCGUCUGGUGUGAAAACUGUCGGCUUAACUGGCAGCUUGCAUCGGGUACGGGCAUGCUAGAGUGUGGUAGGGGUAACUGGAAUUCCUGGUGUAGCGGUGGAAUGCGCAGAUAUCAGGAGGAAUACCGAUGGCGAAGGCAGGUUACUGGGCCAUUACUGACACUGAGGAGCGAAAGCAUGGGGAGCGAACA